GUCACCCAGGUUGGAGUGCAGUGGUGUGAUCUCGGUUCACCGCAACCUCCACCUCCUGGGCUCAAGUGAUUCUAGUACCUCAGUCUUCUAAGCAGCUGGAUUACAGGACUUUGGCUUCUAUGGACUGUGUCACCUGGACUUCCUAGAGCUGUGACUUCCAAGAGGGUUCGGACAAUGGGAGGCACCCAGAGGAGGCUGGAGGGCAGAAGAGGAGAAGUUGGAGUGUUUCUUAGCCUGAUCCUUUCCUGUGCUGGGCUGCAGGUCAGCAGUGACUGCAGUUCAUCAAAUCGAGUCCUACCUGGGCAUCCCUCUUCUUUAGUUCCAGCAACUGUAUUUUGUCUCCUUGCCCCUGCAGCCUAGAGAGGUGGUUAUGACAUCUGGCUGCCUGCUGUUGCUGAUACUGAGAUUACUCAUCUUUCCAUUUCAAUUCCCUAACCCUGCCCCAGCCCCUGUAUAUAGUCCCUUCCUUAUGUUCUCUGUAGAAUCCCGCUGAUUGUGCCUUUUUCUUCUGUCUAGGUCUUGAUCUUCAUCCAUAAACAAGGCAGAGAUUUUGAGAGAUCUUGAAAUUUGUCUCCCUCCCUUUCAGUGUCAGUAGACAUAAAUAUCCAAACCAGUAUGUGUUUAUACCUAGUAGAGGAAUGGGGAGAAAAGCCUUUUGGAAGGUGUGAAGGGAACUGAGGUUAUAGGAUGGACCAGUUCAUAAAUAAGGAGAUAGGAGAGAGGGCUGUAAAACAAACACACACACACAAACUCAUUCACAAAUGUUGGGAAAUAACACAAUACUUAAUCCUGAAGCAUCUAGGAUCCCAGCUGCUGGAUGGCAUCCAUGUCAGGAGCUGAGAAUGUUUUCCCAAUUCCAAUGGAAAUGAUCCUCUUAGUGACUGGCCCGUGGUUCUCUUUUGUUACCUAGUGUUCAUCAGCCCCAUAUGAUUAGCCUUGGCAGUUUGGAGGAGGGGCUUUAAAGACCCUAACAUGAGGAAUGAGGAGGAAGUGACAGCUUAAGAGGGUAGAGGCAGGAAGGAAGACUCAAUGCUAGGAGGCUGUGGGGAGGAAGAGAGUGCGGAGAAAGCUAGCCAAGGAGAGAACAAGUUAAGCCUAAGCCAGGAAUUGGUGGGAUUCCCCUGAGGGUUCCUGUAAAAAUUGAAAUUUGGCUUCCACAGCAGACUUCUGAUCCCAGGUUUUGUAGAUGGACCAUCUGGGAGAGUAUUUGAACUCACCUGGAUCAGCUUAUGCAACACACUGGGGUUCCUCUAGAUUCUGCUGUUUAUCCUGUGCCACAUCAAGGACGCUCAUCAGAGGUGAGUCAAGACUACAGCUGCAGUUGGACGUGCUUUGUUAGGUGAGGCUGUGUAGGUAAUUGAAAGGACCCUGGGGCUAGGAGUUUGAAGCUGUUGCAUCUGGUUUCUAACACUCAGUUUUUGACUUGAGAAUAAGUUAUUUAACUUGCUGAAUCUCACUGCCCUUGACCAUUAAAUGGAGGUAAUGCCAUCUCUACUGUUUUCAUCAUAGGGUGAUUGUGAGGCAUACAAUCAGAUUUGAACAUGAAGGACUUUAUUUGAAAGCUUUUAAAAACGUUAACACAUAACAUAGUUUCUAUUCUCUCACAGUCAUUGUUUUGAGGGAAAUAGAUACCAUUCUCCCUUGGUAUACACAGGAAUUGGUUCCAGGACCCCUGCAUCUACCAGUAUUCGCCCAUACUCAAGACUUACAGUCGGUCCUUCAGAACCCUUGGAUGUAACAAUUGGCUCUCUGUAUAUGCAGGUUUUACACCCUGUGAUUAUUGAUAUUUUUGAUCCACAUUUGGUUAAAAAAAAAAAUCCCCAUAUAAGUGGACCCGGGCAGUUCAAAUCCAUGUUAUUCAAGGGUGAACUGUAUAUGUACAUACCUAUCACAGCAAUGCGCUGAGUACACAAUCAAAGCAUGAACACAUCACUUGUAGAACUUGAAGGAAAACCCCUUGUCCUUGCCCAGGGCAAGUAAGGAGUACUUCUUAAAGGAAAACAAGACAGAUCAAGGAAGGGACAAGCAUUUCAGGCAGAAGAUGCAGCAAACACAGGACACAGCAAGAUAUCAAAAGAGCAAUAGACAUGUGAACAUGUAGCUGGUGUGCCAGUCAGGAGUUAGACCAUGUUUAAUCAUCAUACCAAGCUAAGGAAUUUGGAUGGACCAGCAUUUUAAAAAGUCUGUCCCUAAAAGCAGGGACCCUGGAAGUCGCCCUUUGAGAACAGAGUACUAUGAUCAUUUGUAUUUGGGAAAUUACCUCCCUUUGUGAAUUUCUUGAAGAUUAACAAUGUGCAUUAGCAUAUUAAAGGAUUUUAUAAGUACUAAGGUGAAG
rnacentral:lncRNA from 10 species